CCGGGAUGUAAUUGCAGAGCAAAAUGACAGCUGGUUUGUUUUUAUCAACAAGGAACAUUCAAAGUAGACCUCAAAGUGUCAUGUGGUGAACAGCCUCCAAGUCCUCCCUGUUCUGGUCUGUCCAGAGCAACUGACCAAAGAGGGACCAACAUUGCUUCUAAGGACAUCUGCCAGCCCUACCAGCCACUCUGGAGCCAUUAG
rnacentral:lncRNA from 1 species